rnacentral:lncRNA from 1 species
UCUAGUAGUUGGAACCCAGAGGAGCGAAGGAAGUAAGAUUUGCUGAUUUCAACGGCCAGCCAAUGCAUCAUAAAACUCCGUUCUCACAGCCACCAGGAAGACCCUGAGAAUGAUUGCCCAAGUUGUGCCAUUUACUUAUUAACCAAGAAGUAAAUUUGCGUUAUGGGCACGUUAUUUACUCUGUUGGAAAAUACCUUCUCGGCGCUCCUGUUUUCUCCUUUCUGAUGGUAAGAUUUAAAUGAGGUAAUAUGCGUGAAGCUGUUAACACAGCAAUUGGAAAACAGUAAAUGCUCAACACGUGCUGGAUGUUAUUACCCUUCAGGAUGGAGAGGCUGGCCCAGAGCGGUUAAGUAACUUGGCUAACCCACGAGGCUGAACGAUGUCAUAGCCCGGAUUCCCACCUGGCUCCUAACGCUCACACUCCGGAUUCUGCGCUAGGUUCUGGUGCUGCGGAAACACCGUGAGCUGUCCUGGUGCGAGGGAUCCCCGCAGCCGGAUGGUCUCGACGUGAAUUGUCAGCUGUAACUUUUUUGGAGAUACACCUUAUCCGCUCAGCUCGUGAAAAGUUCACGGGCCCUUGGGAUCCUUAUCUCUGCCUGAGGAAUACCUUCGUUCAUUAAUGAGCAAACCACUGAGUAAAUAAAUAAACACAAGCAAAGGGGAGGCCGAGAUGUUAGGCAAACAUUUGCAGAGCACGAUGCCAGGCCUUUCCGGGGCUGGGAGCUGCCGAGAUCUACCCCCGCUCAGAUGCCCAGGGCUUGCCUGGAAGACAGAAAGUCUCCUUCAGAAAACCCCUGGGGGCUACCUAGACUCUGUACCCCAGAGACGCCUUCUAUCUCUGGGCAUCAGUUUCUCAUCUAUGAGGAAGCGAGGCCCGGACUUUGGAGAAUCCGAAGCUGAGCAGCCUGGGUCCUCCAGGCUGAGCAGUCUCCUCUCAAAACUGAUGAAAGCAGAAUGGGUUUCACUUUGCCACAUGCCUUUCAAUCUUCCAAGGAAGGAUGGAAUAAAGGAGAGUGACCGCUGGUCUUCUCCCCACCGCAUCCCAGGUGCUCAGCACGACGAUUGGCACAUAGUGGAUCCUCAGCAAAUGUUACGUCGGGGAAGUCGCAUAACCUUUCAGACUGCUGUUGCUCAUGAGAGGGCUGAUGGGAAUCCACUUUCUAAGCUGAGGCAUGUCACAGAGGCUUGGGAGCCUUCAGAGGCGGGAGGCGGACCGAUGGGACCACAGAACGCACAGAGCUGUGCACCUGCCGAGGGGCUGAGGCUCCGAGCCUCUGCCCACGGUCCCGUGAGUAGCACUGCAGGGACGUGGCAAGGAAGCAUCUGGGCGUCUCCAUAUUCUCACGGUUGGCACGACACCGUCUCUGCUCGAUGCUGUGUUUCGCCAUGGCCCGCAUCUCCUCUCUUGCCCCUCCGAGUCCUCUUUCCUGCCUCGGGUCAGGACUUCGUCAGCUCUCGCUGUCGGCACGUGCAUAUCGGCCUUUUCUCCCCCUCGCCUACCCCACCGCCUGGCUUCCGGAAAGCCCCUCCCGAGCCACCGAGCCACCGAGUGACCCUACCAGCCUGCUGCUUCUGGGCGGGGCAUUCGAAGCUUCUCCCUAGGCCCCUGCUGGCCUUCCCGGCCUUAAAAUAGCACCUAACAUUUGCAAGAUUAAUGCGCUUUACGAAAGAAGACUUCACAUAUGUUAACCCCAGCAGCUUAUCACAUUUCUUGUUCUCCGGCCAGUCGGUCUAGGCGCGGCGCUCCGAAAAAUCUUCCAUGUGUUCCAGACUCGUGGCAUUUCUUCCUGAGCUUUCUUCUGCCUGGAAUGUAUUUUUCCUCUGUUCAUAUUUUCUUCUUCCUCCGACGCCCUUCCUGAAAACCAUCUCCCGCAGGAAGCGCUCCGUGAUCUCUCCAAGUUUUCAGGGGUGAGGAUCUGUGCCCAAGGCUUUACUGUCCCUCCCAAGAUUCAGAAAAGUUUAUUUAAAAAAACACACCCGCUAAAUGACACUGAAUUAAC